UNGNUCUUGAUUCNGCGGCGGACGGGUGAGUAAUGCCUAGGAAUCUGCCUGGUAGUGGGGGACAACGUUUCGAAAGGAACGCUAAUACCGCAUACGUCCUACGGGAGAAAGCAGGGGACCUUCGGGCCUUGCGCUAUCAGAUGAGCCUAGGUCGGAUUAGCUAGUUGGUGAGGUAAUGGCUCACCAAGGCGACGAUCCGUAACUGGUCUGAGAGGAUGAUCAGUCACACUGGAACUGAGACACGGUCCAGACUCCUACGGGAGGCAGCAGUGGGGAAUAUUGGACAAUGGGCGAAAGCCUGAUCCAGCCAUGCCGCGUGUGUGAAGAAGGUCUUCGGAUUGUAAAGCACUUUAAGUUGGGAGGAAGGGCAGUAAGUUAAUACCUUGCUGUUUUGACGUUACCGACAGAAUAAGCACCGGCUAACUCUGUGCCAGCAGCCGCGGUAAUACAGAGGGUGCAAGCGUUAAUCGGAAUUACUGGGCGUAAAGCGCGCGUAGGUGGUUCGUUAAGUUGGAUGUGAAAGCCCCGGGCUCAACCUGGGAACUGCAUCCAAAACUGGCGAGCUAGAGUAUGGUAGAGGGUGGUGGAAUUUCCUGUGUAGCGGUGAAAUGCGUAGAUAUAGGAAGGAACACCAGUGGCGAAGGCGACCACCUGGACUAAUACUGACACUGNNUGCGAAAGCGUGGGGAGCAAACAGGAUUAGAUACCCUGGUAGUCCACGCCGUAAACGAUGUCAACUAGCCGUUGGAAUCCUUGA
rnacentral:rRNA from 1 species